GCCUGUCGUGAACUGUUACUGGUUUUAUUCACAAAUAGUACUUACCAACAAUGAUUUAAUAAACGGUAGAAAUUUCAAACUGGUUCGUUGAUUAGUAAAUCACUACUAUGCAUGUAUGUCUAAUUUCCAUUGGUUGUAAAAUCUCUAAGGGUAAUAUCGUGUAGUCUCUUUUGAAUACAGCCCGUAAAAAUCGUAGUUGUCUUUGACCAAUGAGCAGGAAUUAUGUUUUAAAAAAAAAUAUGACAGAUACUAAAGUAAUAAUUAUACGCCUGCCAGUUGUUUCUGUAAACCUGUUGAAUUUCUACAAACAUGACUCUUGUUUUUUAUUUCAGUUAUUUCAAUGAAAUGCUUCUGACUGCAAAGUGCAUUUGUUAUUGAAAAUGAUAUAUAGUAUCUAAAGGAAUGAUAUGAACAGCUUGUAUUACUCGAGUAACACUUUCAAAAUAUACGACGGGUGCCAGAUGUGGAGCAGGAUCUGCUUAUUCCUCCUCAGCACCUUAGAUCACCCCCAGUUUUUGGUGGUGUUUGUUUUUCUAAGUCUUUAGUUUUCUAUGUUGUGUAUUGUGUUCUAUUAUCUAUAACUUUUUAACAUAUUAUUUAAGAUUAAAGUCUCCACAAUGAGAUGAGCGCAGUUCAACAGUGUUCUGUUAACUUUGAAGGCCGACUAUCAUGAAAUAAACAAAUUGAACAUAAUAUCAAUAUGUGAGAAAAUCACAUUAUUUAUUAAAAGUUUAUAAUAUAGACCCCUAUAUGAAAAGUUAAGCAUACAUCACUAUACCAGCAUUUUAUAUAUACGUAAAUAAUGAUUUUCGUACAUUUAAAGCAUGCUCACUAUGCAUAUAUUUUUAAAAAAAGCACAUAUACAAGCUUUUCACGCUGAUUCAUCCCUAGAUGAAUUGAAUAUUAAUUUGUGCUAUGUUUUAUACCUUAUA
rnacentral:lncRNA from 1 species